AUGCUUGCUUCAGCAGGACAUAUAUUAAAACUGCAACAAUACAGAGAAUAUUAGCAUGGACCCUGAGAAGAAUGACACACAAAUUUGUGAGGUAUUACAUCUAUUU
ensembl:snRNA U6 U6 spliceosomal RNA